CGGCGGGCGGGUGAGUAACGCGUGGGUAACUACCCUGUACACACGGAUAACAUACCGAAAGGUAUGCUAAUACGGGAUAAUAUAUUUGAGAGGCAUCUCUUAAAUAUCAAAGGUGAGCCAGUACAGGAUGGACCCGCGUCUGAUUAGCUAGCUGGUAAGGUAACGGCUUACCAAGGCGACGAUCAGUAGCCGACCUGAGAGGGUGACCGGCCACAUUGGGACUGAGACACAGCCCAA
rnacentral:rRNA from 1 species